CCUUAAAACACUGGUUCGCAUACGAUCAGCGAAGCUAAGCAACGUGCAGCCUGGUCGGUACCUUGAUGGGUGACCGCUUGCGAAUUUCAGGUGCUGCAGG